GAUGAACGCUGGCGGCGUGCCUAAUACAUGCAAGUCGAGCGAACAGACGAGGAGCUUGCUCCUUUGACGUUAGCGGCGGACGGGUGAGUAACACGUAGGUAACCUACCUAUAAGACUGGGAUAACUUCGGGAAACCGGAGCUAAUACCGGAUAAUAUUUCGAACCGCAUGGUUCGAUAGUGAAAGAUGGCUUUGCUAUCACUUAUAGAUGGACCUGCGCCGUAUUAGCUAGUUGGUAAGGUAACGGCUUACCAAGGCAACGAUACGUAGCCGACCUGAGAGGGUGAUCAGCCACACUGGAACUGAGACACGGUCCAGACUCCUACGGGAGGCAGCAGUAGGGAAUCUUCCGCAAUGGGCGAAAGCCUGACGGAGCAACGCCGCGUGAGUGAUGAAGGUCUUCGGAUCGUAAAACUCUGUUAUUAGGGAAGAACAAACGUGUAAGUAACUGUGCACGUCUUGACGGUACCUAAUCAGAAAGCCACGGCUAACUACGUG
rnacentral:rRNA from 1 species